UACCUGAAGCUGACGGUUAUCACCGGCAUCAGCUGGCUUCUGGAUGUGAUUGGGGCGUUCAUAGAACCCGAGCAUUGGGGGUGGCUGGCGGUCGACAUCCUCAACGGCUUGUCUGGAUGUUAUAUUUUCUGCGCGUUCAUUUGCAAGAAGGAGAUGAUCGUGCUACUUUGCAAAAGAUUCAAGAUAGAAACAAGUUUUGCGCGUCAAUGGGAAUCGACCAUGGUGACAAGCGUCUCCGUGACGAAGAGACAAUUGUCAGAAAAAGAAACGACGCCGACCGAGCAGAAACCGGCGUUCUUUUCUGACAAACCGGGGUACAACUAAAUUAUUAACCAUCUACAAUUAUAUUUUACAUACUUAAUUAAUAACAAAAUUACAAUACAA